ACACUUAGUUUGCAUGCAUGAAUAUGAUGCUAGAGUAUAAGGGAGUUUCACCUAAUAGUUACAAACUUAUAUUUACAAGUAGUGGAGGUCGCUUCUAAACGAUCGCGUUAAAUAAAUUCUUGGCAGGAGUUUCAUGCUCAUCAUAGUAACGAAUGCCUCGUCAAUACUUAUAAUUUUCAUAAUGCUUAAUGAUCUUUGAUUGUAUCUUUAUUGUGCUGUUCACGUAAAGAACUUUUGAAGAAUGCUUGAAUUGUUGUAUGCACUUUCCCAUCCAAUUCAAUAACUUAAGGAGAACUUGAAGGUUAAUUUAAGCGGACUUAAUUAACCUGGGGUGUUGAGUUUCAUGAUUGAUCGAAAGAACAACUGAAAAUUGGUUUAUGUGCAAGUAUGUCAUGUGUGGAGAAGAACCUCCUAGCUAGCCUUCCAUCCAUUCAAUUUACUCAAAUUCGUGCAGAUUUCAUUAGUUCUUUAAUUUACUUGUUUUGUUUUCAAAUUCGUCAAAACCAAAACCCUUUUACUUUAAAGUGUUUUAUUAGUCAAAAUCUGUUUUGAUUUGUGUUUUUAGGUGUCCCAAAAGUGUGUUAGAGUCCAAAUCUACCUAGUUUGUGUUUUUAGGCAGAUUUAAGUGUUUUUAGCUUAUUUUGAGUCCUUUGAGUUUGUUUUAAGUUCUUUGAGUCUAGUUUAAUGUUUUUAACUUUGUUUAUAUGUUUUUAAGUCAGUUUAGAGGUUUUAGCAAGCCCUCAUAAUCCCCGGUUUAGAACGAUCCCUACUUGCAUUUAUACUACAAUUUGACAACAAAAGGGUUUAAUUUGUGUGUUAAGAAAAUUUUCACAUCAAUUACUCAUAAAGAAAUUCAAUGUAACAUCAGAUAUGUGGCUUCUUUACCUGGUGCGCACCAUUCCACUUUAUCUGAUAACAUUUUACUCUUUAGUAAAAUGACAUCAUAUCCAAGUAACUAGGAAAAACAAUCCAUACUCGGUUACAAAUGAUGACUUAGCCCAGCACUAUACGCCACAAUGUUAUACAAAUUAUUUCUUAAAGCUAAUUACGGAUUUUACUUUCAAGACAAUUUAUUAUAACCUGGUUACCUCAAUAGUGCCCUCUAUCUUUAACCGACCAAGUACUAAAGAACCAGACAUAAUCACAUCUACUUGUCUAUGUUUCAGGCGUCCCUAAUGCAUGCCACAUGUCUCACACUACAACACAUCUAGUUUUGCAAACCCAUUGUAGUCACAUGCUCUCAGAAUUUUUCCAAAGACAAUCCCUCAGUCAUAGGAUCGGCCACCAUCUCUUGGGGGAGGGUAUGUAGUCGACCUUUACAUCUCCUUUCUCCAUUAUAUUUUGUAUAUAGUGAUAUUUAAUAUCAAUGUGUUUUCCUUUCGAACUAUUUGCUCCACUCUUUAUCAGAAAGAAGACGGACUUAUUACCACAAAACACAUUGACAAGCUCUUAAGGUAUACCUAUAUUUAAAUUUUCAAUCAAUCGUUUAGCCCAUAUUGCAGUACUUACUAAUGUGCUACAAGAUAUAUAUUCUACUUCCAUGGUAGACUUUGCACCACAGUUGUGUUUCUUACUUAUCCAAGAAACAAUCAUUCCACCAACAAGACAAUGUUACCACUUGUUGACUUUCUGUCAUCCAAGUCGCUUGCGAAAUCUACAUUGCAAUAACAAACAAAAUCCAGAUCAUUUUGUUGAUCCAAAUAUAGCAUUUUGGCAUCUUUAUCCCUAGUAAUUUUAAUUCCUAGAACAUAAGAUGCUUCUCCCAUAUCCUUCAUUUCAAAUUUGGAUCCCACAUAUGACUUAGUCUUUUCAAUCAUAUCUAUAGAGUUACCUGUAAUUAAGAUGUCAUCUACAUAUAGUGACAACAUACAUAAAUUAUCUUGGCACUUCCAAAAGUAAACACAAUGAUCCAAUGGAUUUAUUUUAUAGUCCAUUUCAAUAAUGGCUUGGUGGAACUUAAAUACCAUUGUCUUGAUGAUUGUUUAAGGUCGUACAACGACUUUCUUAAUUUAUAAACUUUGUUUUCAUGUCCUUUGGCAUGAUAUCCUUCAGGUUGAAUCAUAUAGAUGUCUACCUUCAAAUCUCUAUUUAAGAAUGUUGUUUUGACAUUUAACUAAUGAAGUUCUAAAUCCAUUCUAGCAACAAUUGUCAUAAGAAUACGAAUGGAUGUAAACUUCGCAGCUGGAGAGUAAGUGUCCACAAAAUCUAUACCGGGUUUUUUAGUAUAACCCUUAGCUACAAGUUGAGUCUUAAAAUUAUUCAGGGUACCAUUUGAUUUGUACUUCUUACAAAGUACCCACUUACAACCUAUGGGCUUUUUUUUCCAUCAGGUAGAUCAACCAAUUCCCAAAUUUUAUUUUUCUUUAUGGAAUCUAGUUCUUCAUUCAUUGCUUGUUGCCAUUGUUCAGACUCAAAACUAUCUAUUGCUUCUUUAUAAUUCCUUGGGUUUGGAUCUCCCAUUGAAUGAUCUACCUCCUCAAGAUUGAAAACAAAGUGAUCUUUCAAUCUUCUAGAUGGUUCCCUUUUUCUUUUACUCCUACUAAUUUGAUCAUUUAUCCCCCUAUUUAUAUCUUCCAUGAUAAUAUCAUGAUCAUCAUCCAUGUGUAUGUCAUGAUCGGCAUUGUUAUGAUCACCCAUGUUUAUGUCUCCCACUUGAUCAUUGCUAAUGUCAUAAUCAUGAGACAAGUCUAAAUCAAGAUGGAAAUCUUGAUCAUCCGUAGGAGAAUUUUCUUCUCCCAAAGAUUCCAAUUCUUGUAUUGGAUUAACCAAAUCAGUAGUUUCAAUAAAAGUAGCAUCCUUACUUUCGAUCAAUCCUUUCUCAUGAAACCUAUAUCUGACACUAUUAUUAGGAUAUCCUAUGAAUUUACAUUCCAAGGUUUUUCUUGUAAUUUAUCUCUUAAUGGCUUUGGAAUGAGGACAUGUGCUUUACAACCCCAAACUUUUAAGUUUGAUAAAUCGAGUUUUCGCCCAUGUCAUAAUUCAUAUGGAGUCAGUGGUUUCGCCUUUAUAUGAACUCUAUUGAAUAUAUAUAGACAAAGCUUCACCCAAAAAAUGUAGAGGUAAGUCAGCAUAAAACAUCAUAGAUAGCAUCAUAUCCAUUAGAGUUUGAUUUCUUCGUUCUGCGAUUCCAUUUUGUUGUGGUGUAUAAGGCAUAGUAUAAUUAUGCCUUAUACCAUUCUCUUUGCAAAAAUCAUCAAAGGCUUCAAAUUCUCCACCUCUAUCAUUAUUAAGGGUUUUUAUGGAUCUUCCUAAUUGGUUCUCUACUUCUGCCUUGAACUCUUUCAACUUGUCUAAGGCAUCAUUUUUAUGCUUCAAAAAAUAGACAUGUCCAUAACGGGAAUAAUCAUUGAUGAAGUCACAAAAUAUUUCAUUCCUCUAUGGGUUGUAGUUCUCAUUGGUCCACAUAAAUCUGUAUGCAUUAUCUCAAGUAAAUUUGUAGAAGUCCAAUGCUGAGAAAAUGAUUUUCUAGUCAUUUUUCCUUUAAUACAUGAUUCACAUGUAUCAAAAUCAUGUGCAUUUACUUGAGGCAACAUUCCAUUUUUACUCAUGCGUAUCAUUUUAUUUUUAUUUAUGUGACAUAAACGUAAAUGCCAUAUAUAUGACAAAAUUUUGAACAGUAGAGACAAAGGUGUGGAGCCAAAAAUAAUCACAAGGCGACAUGUGGAUUUUUGGAUAGAAGAGGACAAAAAUACCCUUGAGGUACAAGGGGACUCCUACACGCGAGCAAUGGGCAAUCAUCUUUCAACUAAAUCAAAAAUGCCCAAAAUAGGUAACAAUUCAAAACCUAUCUCAUCAAAUCCCUUCUACAAGGUAACUCCCAAAACCUAUUUCAUUCCAUAUAUCUUUUACCUCAUUUUCCCUUUUUUAGCUAAUCAAUUAGCUAUUUGUUCACUCCACAUAUUCCUUUUAUUAUGUUAAUUAGCCAAUAAUAUAUUUAUUUCUAAUCAAUAUAUUAAUUUGCUAAUUAAAUCACCAAAUAACACCCAAAAUACACAUAAAGGGCCGGCCACUCUUUUUCCAAAGAGGACUGGCAAUGCCCUAUAAAUAUGACCCACUUUUCUCUAAAAACCUAGGUCUUCACCCUUGCUAAAAUUCUCCAAAACUCUCAAACACUUUUCUCUCUAAAUUCUAACUUUGGCAUCAAAGGUUCUUUGGCCAAAGCGCCCCCCCCCCAUUCAUCCUAGGCGCAUGUGGCUCUUGGCCUUGACCUAAGGUGUUAUUUGUUUUGUAGGUGCAAUUUUGUCCAAGAUCAAGAAGGCGAAAAUUUACAUCCACAAAUUGGUGCUUUCAUUGAGAGAAGAGUCACACACUCGUAGAAGACUCCCGCAUCAAAAGGUUUUUCUAUUUUCUUGUCCAUUUGUAGAUUUUUCGUACAUUCUUAUUAUUAGAAUUUUUUAUUUGCAAAGAUUCUUUGAUAAAACGUAAAAGAAAAAUACAAUGGCUAGAAAUUUAGAAAAUUCCACAAGUGAAAAUUCCAAUAUCCAAGGAAUGGGACCACGGCGAUCCACGAGGCUAAAUGCGACAAUAAGUGGAGCUGCACCACCACAACAAGUUUCCACCACGGCCACCUGUGGCGAGGUCCAUGGUGCCUUCACCACGACCUGAGCCAUGCCAUCCAAGGUGGCUUACGUCACUAAGUCCACGGCCUAAGCCUCACUCUCGCAUGCAUCACGCACCGAGCAGCCCACUCUCAUGGCCCAACCUGCUUCCGUAGCCCGGUCUGCUCCCGUGGCCUUCCAAGUACCCCCAAUUGAUCCAAGAUUAGUUCAACUAUCCCGGGUCCAAAUUUCCAGACUGACGAUCGAACCAGGAGUAUUUUCACCACAUUUUUCUACGGAUUUGGCAUUUCCCAACUCAAAUCUCACGCCCAGAGUCUACCACACUUCCACUGCUCAAGAAGACGCAUUCAUUCCAAGCUAUUCCAACCCAGAUGGAGAACAACACUUGUCUCGACAAGUCAUAGAGUUGAUGAGCGCCCUCGCACAACAGAUGACCUUGGUGAACCAGCUCUUGUAGCGCAUCGAGAUGCAACGUGCCCUAGACGAGGUGUCCCGAAAUAGGACAAGGGCAAACAAAGAACCUUUCCAGCAGCGUCCGAUAGGAGCAUAUUUAUACGACUUAGUUAGCUUGUUUCUUGGCAUUUAUGUUGUUAGUUCGUAGUUAUUUUAGUAUUUUAAGCUAUUUUCAUGUGUUUGUAGGUCCAAAGGGUUAAUGUGGCAAAGAAGUGCAUUUUGGAGCAUUUUUUGGCAUGGAAUGGAUAGCAUAUGCUUGGAGCAAAAGGAAUGGACGAAAUUUGAAGUUUGUGCAUCAUCAUCUCCCUAUAAAUAACCAUUUUAGCACACUCAUUUCACCCAACACAUCCACUCAUUACAACCACCCAACACAUCCACUCAUUACAACCACCCAACACAUUCACCUACCACUACAUCCACUCAUUUCACCCAACACAUCCAUUCACCUACCACUACAUCCACUCAUUUCACCCAACACAUUCACCCAUUACAACCACCCAACACAUUCACCUACCAUUACAUCCACUCAUUUCACCUAACACAUCCACUCAUUUCAACCACCCAACACAUUCACCUACCACUACAUCCACUCAUUACCACCACCCACUACAUCAUCUCCCUAGCCUAUAAAUAUAUCCAUCCAAAGACACAUUUGGGGGACAGUUUAGGGAGAAGGACAGGAAGACACACUCUGCCGCAAGGCAGAGUCUUUUCUUCUUAACCAUUCUACACAUUUCCACAACAAAAACACAAUUUCAUGCACCUUCAUUUCCUUUUCCUUGCCGUGACCUCCAUCCAACCUAAACACAUUCAGCCAUUCCCUUCCAUAUAUCCAUAUGCAUCCAUCAAACCAUACCUUGUGCCGCAACAAAGAGAUGAAGGAGGACCCUUGGAAGUGCUUGCCAUUCAAGUUGGAUUGUUGGAGCGUUUUUAGGUGUUUUCAUUCUUUUGCUUUCAAUGUCUAAAUUUGUUUAUCUUUGCUUUGUGAGUAUGAGGAACUAAAUCCCCCUUAGCUAGGGGGGAAUUCAAAGCCAUGAACAUACUUGGAAUAUGAUUUGAUUACCUUAAGUUGUGAUUUCAUAAGUUGUGAAUUCAAUUUGUUUAACUGCUUGAUUGAUAACUUAUUCGUGUAUGUUUAUUAAGAGUGCACACUUAAUUUGCAUGCAUGAAUAUGAUGCUAGAGUAUAAGGGAGUUUCACCUAAUAGUUACAAACUUAUAUUCACAAGUAGUGGAGGUCGCUUAUAAACGAUUGCGUUAAAUGAAUUCUUGGCAGGAGUUUCAUGCUCAUCAUAGUAACGAAUGCCUCGUCAAUACUUAUAGUUUUCAUAAUGCUUAAUGAUCUUUGAUUGUAUCUUUAUUGUGUUGUUCACGAAAAGGACUUUUGAAGAAUGCUUGAAUUGUUGUAUGCGAUUUCCCAUCCAAUUCAAUAACUUAAGGAGAACUUGAAGGUUAAUUUAAGCGGACUUAAUUAACCUGGGGUGUUGAGUUUCAUGAUUUAUCGAAAGAACAACUAAAAAUUGGUUUAUGUGCAAGUGUGUCAUGUGUGGAGAAGAACCCUUUAGCUAGCGCAUCAUCCAUAGUUUACCCAAAUUCAUCCAAAAUUUGUUUUAGUUUACAAUCUGUUUGUUUUGUUUUCAAAUUCGUCAAAAUCAAAUCCCCCUUUA
rnacentral:lncRNA from 1 species